rnacentral:rRNA from 1 species
AUUGAACGCUAGCGGGAUGCUUUACACAUGCAAGUCGAACGGAGUGGCGGACGGGUGAGUAAUAUAUCGGAACGUGCCUAGUAGAGGGGGAUAACUACUCGAAACAGUGGCUAAUACCGCAUACUAUUCGAGCUGCCCACAUGGGAUUAGCUAGUUGGUGGGGUAAAGGCUCACCAAGGCAUAGAGCCCUAGCUGGUGUGAGAGGACGACCAGCCACACGGGAACUGAGACACGGCCCAGACUCCUACGGGAGGCAGCAGUGGGGAAUGUUGGGCAAUGGGGGAAAGCCUGAUCCAGCCAUGCCGCGUGUAUGAAGAAGGCCUGCGGGUUGUAAAGUACUUUUGGUAGAGAAGCGGUAUCUGCAGAAUAAGCACCGGCUAACUACGUGCCAGCAGCCGCGGUAAUAC